UGGAGCUUGCCAGUUGCUUGCUGUAUAAAGAGAAGAGGCAGAGACAGUGAAAGACAGAGGGAGGGAGAUGCAGCGGACAAAUCUCUCUCUUGCUGCCUCUCAGAGAUAAAUCAGCAGCACUGAGGGGGGCUGAAGCCAUGGGGUUCGCAAAUAUCAUCCUGCACCUCUGGGCCUGGAUAUUCAUGCUAUGGAGUGUUGCUAAUAUCUCCAUCGCAGUGUCACCUGUAGAAAUUCCAGAUUCCUCUUGCUCAGGCCCCCAAGGGACAGAAUUUAUCACAGUCUUCAUGCAGAAUCACUUACCAAGUUAUGGUGGUAAAGACUUCAG